rnacentral:misc_RNA from 1 species
AAAGAUACCUAGAGGCAAGUUCGGAUGUCCCAUCUGAUCUUCCUACUCUUCUACCCAGAAUUUAACUGCUGCCGAUAGCCAAGAAUUUUGAUAUCAAAUAAGAUAAACUAUAUCAUAUAUUUUCCUCCCUUCUCGCUCUUAUUUUAAUGUAUUGAUAAGUUUAUGCUGAGUGACUUAUCUUUAAAUUAUGCCCCAACUUUUAACAAGCGAAAAUUUUCUACAUUAUGCAUAAUGUAUUAUUGCAGAGCCCACCAUGAUGGGGAACACUUUGCAUUUGCCAGGCCUUGAA